AGAAGAAAGGCAAGUGGGAAAACAAAUGCUUUUGAUUUAAAAUAAAAUAAAUAAAUGUAUGUGUUUAUAUUGUCCAGGAAGAGAAAGAAAGAAAGAAAACUGUCCACCCUUUUCAGAAACCACUGAUUUUCCAUUGUAAAGAAAGAAUUAAAAAAAAAAACAAACAGAAGUUCCUUGCUUGCUGAUUGAUUUGGAAGUAAGAAAAUCUGCCCUGAGCAUCCAUUGUUCCUGCAUGGGUAAUGAAACAUUUGCUCUGGGAGCUUUGGUCACUCUGCUACUCACUUGCAAGGUGCUGGGAAGCUGUUCUGCAUUCAGCAAUGCUGCAGCACCUUGUGGCUCGAGGUGUGCUUGAUGAACAAGGUUGAACUGGAAUCUUUGAGCAAGAAUCCUCUUAAGUCUGAACACUGGAAAACUGGUGAAGAGUGAAGUGGGAAAUACAGAGUGUGAGCUCCCAGGCUCCUGUGCCUGGCGGACACUGCAACAAGAUCCAGCACAGGUGAGAUCUCUCCUGGCUGGUUGAAUCUGAUCUAAAUCUGCACAACUGCUGAAGGUCUAAUCCCACUCCAUACCUUUACACUCAUCUCCACUUCAGCAUGACUUCAUGCCACCUAACAAACCCUACAGAAACAGUAGAGUGGUUUCUUUUCAGAUGGCUUAGGUCUGCAAGAUAGCUGAGUGCAGGGAGGAGGCAGUGAUGUCUAGUGAAGGUAGCUCGUAUCUCUCUGCACAAGUCCACUGCUCUGCAGCUUGGGACGAAGAGCUGCUGCUUGUUCCUGAGCCAACAGAUUCUGACUAGCUGCACUCACUGCUGAAGAGCAGCAUUUUGCUGCACAAGCCAUCAUAUCAGCUUUACGGUCAUGGUAAUUUCUCCACGGCAGGCAGAGGAGCUAGCCCUCAGUGAGGCAUGCAGUCAUGUUAUGCUUUGAACAUAAGCUGAUUUUGCCUUGGAAGUAAGAUACCACAUUUCCUGGCACCCACACACUGAGCAUUCUCUCCUCUCACACACAUGCAGCCAGUUUUCAGCUUUGAAUUCUCUGUGUUGAGAAUAGUGAUAGCCCACUCUCCCCCCAGCCCCCAGAUUUGUUCACCGUGGGUGAUCAGCCAUUUCCAGCUUCUUCAGAGACAAAACCUUUCUUUGCUUUAAUCUUUGAGGGCUGCAGAAGUGUCAGAGCAAUGAAAGAUGGGAAUGAAAUUCUCUGCCAGCCUUCAUGCAAUUAUUAAGCACUACAUUCAGAAGCUUUACUUUGACAAUAUAUGAAUAAAGGCAAAAACAGCAUUUCACGGCAGAUUAUCCAUCCCACCUGGGUCAGGACAGGAUGCCAUGAUGCACAGUGCCAAAAAGAACACGGUCUGACUUUGAGCCAGGCUGGAGUUUCAGAGUUAGCAGCUGAAAUCGCAUUUCAUCACAGGUGGGAGAACAUUUCAUGGGAAGAGAGGAGACCUGAUGCACACUGAUUGUGGGUGUUCACCUCACAGCCGUGUGGCAGUUCUGCCCACAGCAGGGGGUUGCAACUCAAUGAUCUUUAAGGUCCCUUCCAGCCUAAGCCUUUCCACCUAUGAUUCUGUUGAGAAUAUUUGUUUGCUUUGCCUGAGCAGGUAACACUUGCAGAAUAGAGGCCCUUUUCAUCCAAUGGUGGAUGAAGGCUAGCAAGGUGACUGCUUCAGGAAGAUGCUGUU